rnacentral:rRNA from 1 species
GAUGAACGCUGGCGGCGUGCCUAAUACAUGCAAGUCGAGCGAAUGGAUUAAGAGCUUGCUCUUAUGAAGUUAGCGGCGGACGGGUGAGUAACGCGUGGGUAACCUGCCCAUAAGACUGGGAUAACUCCGGGAAACCGGGGCUAAUACCGGAUAACAUUUUGAACCGCAUGGUUCGAAAUUGAAAGGCGGCUUCGGCUGUCACUUAUGGAUGGACCCGCGUCGCAUUAGCUAGUUGGUGAGGUAACGGCUCACCAAGGCAACGAUGCGUAGCCGACCUGAGAGGGUGAUCGGCCACACUGGGACUGAGACACGGCCCAGACUCCUACGGGAGGCAGCAGUAGGGAAUCUUCCGCAAUGGACGAAAGUCUGACGGAGCAACGCCGCGUGAGUGAUGAAGGCUUUCGGGUCGUAAAACUCUGUUGUUAGGGAAGAACAAGUGCUAGUUGAGUAAGCUGGCACCCUGACGGUACCUAACCAGAAAGCCACGGCUAACUACGUGCCAGCAGCCGCCGUAA